CCAGCAACUUCCAGUGACAGAACAAAAUGAAAUAGUACGGAAUUCAAAUUCUGCUGUGUUUUCCCCCUCUACUAGUGUUAGUAGAAGAGUGUGACCAAUCCAGCAGUUCUUGGGAAAGCUUGGUCCCAAACAAUCUCAGAGA